GAGGCUCAACCUCGGGUUUGCAGUGGGUACGGGCAGACUAGAGUGCGGUAGGGGAGAUUGGAAUUCCUGGUGUAGCGGUGGAAUGCGCAGAUAUCAGGAGGAACACCGAUGGCGAAGGCAGAUCUCUGGGCCGYAACUGACGCUGAGGAGCGAAAGCAUGGGGAGCGAACAGGAUUAGAUACCCUGGUAGUCCAUGCCGUAAACGUUGGGMACUAGAUGUGGGGWCCAUUCCACGGUCUCCGUGUCGCAGCUAACGCAUUAAGUUCCCCGCCUGGGGAGUACGGCCGCAAGGCUAAAACUCAAAGGAAUUGACGGGGGCCCGCACAAGCGGCGGAGCAUGCGGAUUAAUUCGAUGCAACGCGAAGAACCUUACCAAGGCUUGACAUACACCGGAAACAUUCAGAGAUGUGUGCCCCGCAAGGUCGGUAUACAGGUGGUGCAUGGUUGUCGUCAGCUCGUGUCGUGAGAUGUUGGGUUAAGUCCCGCAACGAGCGCAACCCUCGUUCCAUGUUGCCAGCAGGUAAUGGUGGGAACUCAUAGGAGACUGCCGGGGUCAACUCGGAGGAAGGUGGGGAUGACGUCAAAUCAUCAUGCCCCUUAUGUCUUGGGCUUCACGCAUGCUACAAUGGCCGGUACAAAGGGCUGCGAUACCGUAAGGUGGAGCGAAUCCCAAAAAGCCGGUCUCAGUUCGGAUUGGGGUCUGCAACUCGACCUCAUGAAGUCGGAGUCGCUAGUAAUCGCAGAUCAGC
rnacentral:rRNA from 1 species